UUCUCAAUAGUUCAGUGGUAGAACGGUCAUAUUUCUUUGAUGCGUCAUCGGUUCGAUUCCGAUUUGAGGAA
rnacentral:tRNA from 1 species